rnacentral:misc_RNA from 1 species
GAUGAAGAACGCAGCGAAAUGCGAUAAGUAGUGUGAAUUGCAGAAUUCAGUGAAUCAUCGAAUCUUUGAACGCACAUUGCGCCCCUUGGUAUUCCAUGGGGCAUGCCUGUUCGAGCGUCAUUUGUACCUUCAAGCCUUGCUUGGUGUUGGGUGUUUGUCUCGCCUCUGCGCGCAGACUCGCCUCAAAACAAUUGGCAGCCGGCGUAUUGAUUUCGGAGCGCAGUACAUCUCGCGCUUUGCACUCAGAACGACGACGUCCAAAAGUACAUUUUUACACUCUUGACCUCGGAUCAGGUAGGAAUACCCGCUGAACUUAAGCAUAUCAAUAAGCGGAGGA